rnacentral:rRNA from 1 species
UACGUAGGGUGCAAGCGUUUAAUCGGAAUUACUGGGCGUAAAGCGUGCGCAGGCGGUGAUGUAAGACAGAUGUGAAAUCCCCGGGCUCAACCUGGGAACUGCAUUUGUGACUGCAUCGCUAGAGUACGGCAGAGGGGGAUGGAAUUCCGCGUGUAGCAGUGAAAUGCGUAGAUAUGCGGAGGAACACCGAUGGCGAAGGCAAUCCCCUGGGCCUGUACUGACGCUCAUGCACGAAAGC